GACGAACGCUGGCGGCGUGCUUAACACAUGCAAGUCGAACGGAAAGGCCCUGCUUUUGUGGGGUGCUCGAGUGGCGAACGGGUGAGUAACACGUGAGUAACCUGCCCUUGACUUUGGGAUAACUUCAGGAAACUGGGGCUAAUACCGGAUAGGAGCUCCUGCUGCAUGGUGGGGGUUGGAAAGUUUCGGCGGUUGGGGAUGGACUCGCGGCUUAUCAGCUUGUUGGUGGGGUAGUGGCUUACCAAGGCUUGGACGGGUAGCCGGCCUGAGAGGGUGACCGGCCACAUUGGGCCUGGGAUACGGCCCAGACUCCUACGGGAGGCAGCAGUGGGGAAUAUUGCACAAUGGGCGGAAGCAUGAUGCAGCAACGCCGCGUGCGGGAUGACGGCCUUCGGGUUGUAAUGCGCUUUCGCCUGUGACGAAGCGUGAGUGACGGUAAUGGGUAAAGAAGCACCGGCUAACUACGUG
rnacentral:rRNA from 1 species